CUCCGUUUCAACUACACCAAAAAGUGGAGCCGAGAAGAUAUUUGCUUUGUAAAAGUCAUUCGAGAGUAGGAUUUUUAUUCCGUUCUCUGGUUGUUAAACAAACACGCUAGCCGACUGAAGCUACUUGAUCGACAGGCAGCUAUGUAUUGAGUAGAAAAGGAAGAUUUUUUAUAAAUGCUCCAAUGGACUUUCAGACCCAAAAGCUCAGUUGAGAUGGUGUGAGAGUGUGACGUUGUGACAAACCCCUACCACAAAGUGAUUUAAAACCAUAUUUUAUACCAGCCAAACGUCAACCACUCCAGUGAGAGACAGUGUAGAGGAAACUCUGGUGUAUAGUGAGGAGGAAAUUGCCAUAUUUCUUGCACGUCAGUUUCCCAAUGCAGCCUUUCUGACUGUAUUUACUGUCAUCUUUUGGUAACGUGUCAUGGGCAGGUUUGUAGAUCUUUAACUGCAUGAUUCAGCUGAACAUGUGGCUGUAAUUAAGGGCCUUUAAUGUAAGUGCGUCAAACGCAGGGUGUUGCAUCAAAAUCACUGACUGCAUCAAAAGAAAGAACUGACUGACAAAAGGGUUUGGAACGCUAAGUACUUUUUUUUUUUUUUCUUUUAAAUCUGUUUUAUGUUAUCAUAUUAAUUCUGAGUAGCUCGAGUCUGUACACGAGGAACGGUCUAAAGGUAGGUCUUUUUACUACACACACUAAAACAGAAAUCAAAUCAGCACAGCAACAGAGCGCAGAGUAUCCCAAGGUUUUCUAGGGCAGCACCUCGGCGAGGGAGGGACUGGAAAGCUGAUCUCACUUUCCCAUUGUUUCCUGAAGUCAGAGUUGAUGAGAAGCAGAUGUGGAGCAUGUCGGUGCCGCACGUAUCUCAGGAUACGUCUCAUUUCCCCAAGGAGGCAAAAAAAAAACCCCAAGAAGCAGAAGCAGACCUUGAGAGUUUUGCAAAAAUCACAACCUCUGAGUAGAGAAGUACUGUUGGCGUUAUAUUAAGCGGAACUCCAAGGUUACUAAAAUGAUGCAAAUCAAACUAAGAAUGAUUCAUCAGCAGUUCAUAUGACGAUGAUGUCAUUUCCUUUGCAUGAAGCUAUUUUGUUAGAGAGGCUUGGUGUUUUUACUCCAAAUAUACUUUAUUAUUAUUAUUAUUUAUAGUAGUAGGGGUAGUAGUUGUAGUAGUAGUAGUAGUAGUAGUAGUAGAAGUAGUGGUAGUAGUAGUAGUAUAG
ensembl:lncRNA